UACGUAGGGGGCAAGCGGUGUCCGGAUUUACUGGGCGUAAAGGGCGCGUAGGCGGCGCAACAAGUCACUUGUGAAAUCUCCGGGCUUAACCCGGAGCGGCCAAGUGAUACUGUCGUGCUAGAGUGCGGAAGGGGCUACUGGAAUUCUCGGUGUAGCGGUGAAAUGCGUAGAUAUCGAGAGGAACACCUGCGGCGAAGGCGGGUAGCUGGGCCGACACUGACGCUGAGGCGCGAAAGCCAGGGGAGCGAACGGG
rnacentral:rRNA from 1 species